GGGCCUAUGGCCGUUAUUAAUUAGGAGCAACAUGUAUUGUUUUUAGAGAUUGUUGCUGCAGGAACUAGCUGCAGCCUUGCAAUUGAGAUUUUAGGCACCCAGAACUGAUGAAUUAAAAAUUUGUGAACUGCCUUGGACAUUCAUAAUUCUUUGCUUAAACCUUCAAUAGAAUAAAGACAAUGCUAAACCAUGUAAUUUUAUUUCUCUGAGGCCAAGGAGGUUCCACUUCAUUGAUAGACAUAAGUGAAUAUCAGAAUGUAAUGUCUUAAUUGAUCUUGAAUGCUUUGAGCAUCUGUCAAGCAGUUACAAUAUGUAGCUUUUGUUACAGUAAGCAAUUUAGUUCCUUAAAGGCUCUAGUAGUUUUUUCUAUUUAGUUCCACUACUAGUGAAAUAAAAUGAAAUACUUUGCUUAGAGGUAGAGUAAGAUGAGAGGGCUUUUCUUAAAAUUAUAGUAAGUUAGUUAUCUUCUAUUCAUUAUGUUUGUAAUUAUGUAAUGUGUGAUGACAGUUCCAUCAUAUGACCCCUAGUUCCUCCCAUUCAUUCCUUUGAGGAAGAAGUGAUUGUUACACAGCUUCAGAAAGUGAAAGGACUUUUCUUUGGAUAAAACCUUCUCAGCUGUGAAAAGUGGAAGGAAAAGAGGUUAUUAAGUUUCCCCACUAAUUUGGAACUUGCUAAAAAGCACAAUUUAUAAUCCACACAAAUUGGUGAUCUCUUCCCACUUCUCAAGAAAGACUUUAUAGCAGAGGCUGUAAUGAGGUCUCAUAAUAACUUCUUACUCUUGUACAUGAUGAAAUAUUAUAAAUAAAUUACAAUUGACUAAAUAAAGUAUAUGCUUUUGUGGCAUCCUUGCUUUUUAUUGUUCACAUACUUGGUAAUUCCUCAUUCACAGUCUUUGUCAGUAGUGUUGACUCUUUCUCCCAUACUUUUGUUAAAAAAUUGCUAUAAAUGAAUGUUAUAUUGUACCUUGAAUACUUUGCAGCUGAAAAUGUGUUACUAAAACUUAAAAGAAAAUGACUUUGUAUGUCAACAUGAGAGCAAUAGCACAGGUUGUUCUGGGUUUAAACUAAUUGAAAAGUUUAAUAAAAAAUUCUGCUAGAACUAACAAAAACUUUUAAUGGUCUUUUUAUUUUAC